rnacentral:rRNA from 1 species
GCAUAUCAAUAAGCGGAGGAAAAGAAACCAACCGGGAUUGCCUCAGUAACGGCGAGUGAAGCGGCAAGAGCUCAAAUUUGAAAUCUGGCCCCUCCGGGGUCCGAGUUGUAAUUUGGAGAGGAUGCUUCGGGCUCGGUCCCCAUCUAAGUGCCCCUGGAACGGGCUGUCAUAGAGGGUGAGAAUCCCGUAUGGGAUGGGCGGCCGUGCCCGUGUGAAGCUCCUUCGACGAGUCGAGUUGUUUGGGAAUGCAGCUCUAAGCGGGUGGUAAAUUUCAUCUAAAGCUAAAUACUGGCCGGAGACCGAUAGCGCACAAGUAGAGUGAUCGAAAGAUGAAAAGCACUUUGAAAAGAGAGUUAAACAGCACGUGAAAUUGUUGAAAGGGAAGCGUUGGCCACCAGACGCGCCCGGGGGGGCUCAGCCGGCACGUGUGCCGGUGUACUCCCCCCCGGACGGGUCAGCAUCGGUUUGGGCGGUCGCUGAAAGGCUCUGGGAAUGUAGCACCCUCCGGGGUGCCUUAUAGCCCAGGGUGUCAUGCGGCCCGCCUGGACCGAGGUUCGCGCUUCGGCGAGGAUGCUGGCGUAAUGGUGGUCAACGGCCCGUCUUGAAACACGGACCAAGGAGUCUAACAUCUAUGCGAGUGUUCGGGUGUCAAACCCGUCCGCGCAGUGAAAGCGAACGCAGGUGGGAACCCCUUCCCGGGGCGCACCAUCGACCGAUCCUGAUGUCUUCGGAUGGAUUUGAGUAAGAGCAUAGCUGUUGGGACCCGAAAGAUGGUGAACUAUGCCUGAAUAGGGCGAAGCCAGAGGAAACUCUGGUGGAGGCUCGCAGCGGUUCUGACGUGCAAAUCGAUCGUCAAAUUUGGGUAUAGGGGCGAAAGACUAAUCGAACCAUCUGGUAGCUGGUUCCUGCCGA